UACGUAGGUGGCAAGCGUCGUCCGGAUUUAUUGGGUUUAAAGGGUGCGUAGGUGGUUUGAUAAGUCAGUGGUGGAAGCCGGUUGCUCAACAAUCGAGUUGCCAUUGAUACUGUCGGACUUGAGAGAAGUGGAGGUUCAUGGAAUGGAUGGUGUAGCGGUGAAAUGCAUAGAUAUCAUCCAGAACGUCGAUUGCGAAGGUAGUGGGCUGUACUUUUUCUGACACUGAGGCACGAAAGCGUGGGGAUCAAACAGG
rnacentral:rRNA from 1 species